GCUUGAUAGAACCUUGAAGAUUGUAAUACUUUUCGAGACACAAGCUUUUCCAUAAAAUAAACUCAUUUCAUUUCUGACUUCUACGUUGUUUGCAACAAAUUAUUUUUUUUCUUAUACGAUGAAACUUACAUAUUCGUUGGUGUUUGCAUUGGUGGCAUUUUUCUGUCUGGUGACACCAUUGGAAGGCUUGGAGUGUCCUCCACCAACAGGUGCUCUUUGCAAACAAUGGCUCAACAAUUGUUAUUUUGACUUUCAAUGUGGAAUCGGCAAAAAGUGCUGUCUGGAAACAUAUUGUGGACGUUCGUGCCGAACUGCUGUCUAGAUUUACAUUGUUUGUCUCUGUGUAAUGUUUUUGUUUUGAGGAAAUAUAAGGUCAUUGUACAUCAAA